rnacentral:misc_RNA from 1 species
CAACGCAAGCGGUGAGGGCGCUGCUCUCACUGCCUAGCACACUCGGAGAAAAGAAAGACAUACAGCGGGGCGGAAGAAAAGCGAGAGCAGCGUUGUCUCUGUCGCGCAUGCUUACCGUGCUCGCUCACAGACACAAAAAAAGCGCGGAGCAGCAGCUCUUUCUUUGAUCCUCGUGGGAAAACGGCUAGUUGGGCCCCGUUUUUGCUGGCCCCUUUGUACGUGUGUGUGCCUCGUACUCCUCGGACGUGGGCGCGUAAGCCCGCAUUGCCCUGGCAGAACUUUCAAUUUUCCCCUCCUCCCAUUCUUGCUUCUCUGAUCUCUGUUCUCCGUCACACUCCGUCUUUUCCCUCGAUUCCUGUCUCAUCCCCGCUGCCGGAAGAGAAGGAAAAAAAGAAACGAAGAAAAGUUCCUUCUCAUCACAGACUCACUCGCACGCCCUGUUCUCUUCAUUUGUUUUCCUUUCGCUUGCGUACGUCGUUCUCCGUAGUUUCCCCUCGUUGUUGCCCCCCCCCUCACGUUUGUGUGUCUUUCCUUCUCUCUGCCGCUCUUGUUUCUCAUCUCGCGCGCUCCUCCGUUUUUCCGCCCCCUUCGGCUCCCUCUCUCUGUGCGUGCGUGUAUCUUCUCCGCUUUCCCUCUUUUUCCUUGUUUCUUACUCUUGUUCGUUGGUCUCUCCCCUCCCCCCUCCUCCUGCAUGCGCGUGCUGCCUUCGUCACAGGUGUUUUGUUGUGUUCGCGUUGCUUUACCCUUCGCUUCCAUUUUGUUCCCUCCCCCUCCCCGCACUCCAGACACACACACACACACUUCUGUAUCUCUUUUUUCUUUCCUCUUCUUGUGUUUCUCCUCUGUUGUUGCUUCGCCAGCCUUUAGCUCACGCAGCUCUCUCCCCCCUCUGCCCCCUCCCCUCCUCGUGCGCCCUCCCUCUUCCGGCGUCUUCGACCGUGUCUUCGCUCAACUUCGAGUCACCUGUGUGGUCGCUGGAGCAGCUCGACCCUAUUUUCAUCUCUCCCCCCUCUCCUCUCUCUUCGGUGUGUGAUCGCGUGCCGCAGUGACGCGUGUGGUCCCCCCUUGUCACGUCUCCACAAGUCUCUCUCGCGCGUGCGCUUCGUCUGUCGGGGGCAUCAUUGUUAACUAUCCCUUGACGGACGUCGCCAAGGCGCGCGCGGCGGAUGGAGCCUACGCAGCCUCAAUCCAGCGCCGACAGCCGCGCGUCGGAAGAGCAGCCGCAGUGGCUUUUUCCCGACGCUGACCCAAGCGCGGUGUCGGCGCAACCAUUCGUGUGCGACCCCUACGGCGGCGUGCCGCGUAGGGAGGACUAUGAUCCGUGCAACACGGCGCAGCCGCCGCCGCCGCGGACACAUGAUCACGAUAUGCAAGCCACUUUUCGCUCCUUCCGCGGCGUUGUGCUCAGCACGCAAUCCUGGGGUGUUCAGUGGACGGAGGCGACGGACACGAGUGUCAAGCGCUGGGUGCAACGAGCCUUGAAGGUGGACGACGUGGAGGAUCCGUCUUCGUCAUCGCCCUGGGCGCCGUCCUCGCCUCGGGCCGCGUCAUCUGGCCGCCCCAGCAACGACGACUCGGCGUGCGAGUACCGAGAGUGUUCACCACGUGGGGCAACCACGACAGCGCCGCCGCAAAGAGACUCCCAAACGUUGCAGCGGCGCCAGCACCCACACCCGGCUCGGGGGAAAGGCGCCUGAAGCGCGCAGUGGCGGUGGCGCAGACCAAAGCGCGCCGUCACCCACCACCACCACCGCCACCCCCUAUUUCCUUCCGUGUCUCCAUUACCACGUCAAGUCAACGUGAAUCUGUCUUCGUCGUUGUCGUCUUGUAUCGUUUUUUUUUGUAUUAUGAUCCGCUUCUUGUAUGGUCGUGGGCGCUCCCGUUCCUCUGCGUGGGCACGUGCACUUUCCUCAAAUACAGAAUCGCUGCUUGCUCUCGCUGCUGUUGGAGCCAAACACCACUUCUACUUGUUGCAAUUGUGUGUCUGUGUGUGUGUGUGUGUGUGUGUGUGUGUGUGUGUGUGUCAUGCGAAGUCGUGCAAGCCCUCCCUUGGUUGCGGGCAGCCAAGUGUUUCCGUUCACGCAGCAGGGAAGCCCUGAAGUGUCCGCUCGCCUCAGGACAUGCUGGGUGUUGUACUCGAGUUGCUGUUUGCGGCAUGUAGCUUAACGGUUGUUGAGCAUCUCAGAACGUAAUAUGCUGUGGUUGCUUGCGUCUUUGCGGGCGUAUGUGCCCUGUGUACGCAUGUGAAUGUGUUGUACGGGCAGAGGCAGAUCCGACUCGUCCUACCACUUUUUCUUUGGCUUGCCCACUCAUCCACUUCACACACACACACACAAACACACAUCCUCUGCGCUGGCGUGGGGCGAGAGAGUGGGACGGGGAGGGGGGCAUCACGUGAGCGGUGGGGAGUUGUCUCCCUGUUGGUGAGGAUGCUUCCAUCAUCACCACCCCUGUGCGAAGCAAGAUGUGUCGCACAGACGCGCACGCGCUCGUUGAUGUUAGUACUUGUGUCUCAUCUUCACAUUACCUCCCCACCCACACCCCACAUCUUCAUUUUGGUUUUUGUUGCUUCUCACUUGAUGACGGCGUCGCCCGGACGCCCGGGUGGAG